CCUACGGGCGGCAGCAGUCGAGAAUCAUUCACAAUGGGGGAAACCCUGAUGGUGCGACGCCGCGUGGGGGAAUGAAGGUCUUCGGAUUGUAAACCCCUGUCAUGUGGGAGCAAAUUAAAAAGAUAGUACCACAAGAGGAAGAGACGGCUAACUCUGUGCCAGCAGCCGCGGUAAUACAGAGGUCUCAAGCGUUGUUCGGAAUCACUGGGCGUAAAGCGUGCGUAGGCUGUUUCGUAAGUCGUGUGUGAAAGGCGCGGACUCAACCCGCGGACGGCACAUGAUACUGCGAGACUAGAGUAAUGGAGGGGGAACCGGAAUUCUCGGUGUAGCAGUGAAAUGCGUAGAUAUCGAGAGGAACACUCGUGGCGAAGGCGGGUUCCUGGACAUUAACUGACGCUGAGGCACGAAGGCCAGGGGAGCGAAAGGGAUUAGAUACCCGAGUAGUC
rnacentral:rRNA from 1 species